CAGUCGCCGCGGUAAUACGAAGGGUGCAAGCGUUAAUCGGAAUUACUGGGCAUAAAGCGUGCGUAGGCGGUUUGUUAAGUCUGUUGUGAAAUCCCCGGGCUCAACCUGGGAAUGGCAAUGGAUACUGGCAAGCUAGAGUGUGUCAGAGGAUGGUGGAAUUCCCGGUGUAGCGGUGAAAUGCGUAGAGAUCGGGAGGAACAUCAGUGGCGAAGGCGGCCAUCUGGGACAACACUGACGCUGAGGCACGAAAGCGUGGGGAGCAAACAGGAUUAGAUACCCCUGUAGUCCCUGUCUCUUAUAA
rnacentral:rRNA from 1 species